UCGACUAAAGAACCCUAAAAAUACAAGGAUUUGCUCGUAUAACAUCGUUUCCGAGCCUCUCCUUACAAUCUAUUCUCCUCAACUCCUAAAAAUAUAAGGAUCCGAGGAGUUUUGGAAAAAUUCACAAAAAGCGACCACUGGUUUUCAACUCUCUCCUCAAGUUCACUUUUUUUUCUUUUUUGCUGCAAUCAGGUCAGAUCGGUCGACGUGGAUGGUAGCUGAGCGGUGCGCAGGUUGCCAAGUAAGAAAAUUUUCAAGAAAACAUUUAAAAAUAAUUUUUCUAGGACAUUUUGUGUUUCCAUUUAUUUCCAUUUAACAUUCCAUGUUACAUGGCAAUACAUUUAUUUGAUUCAGCAUUUGAGUAUUCAGUAAAUUAAAGUUUUAAGUUUUCAAUUUUUAUUUC